CACGAGGCCAAGAGAUGGAGACCAUCCUGGCCAACAUGAGUUGAAUGGAACUGUUAUAAACAAUAGGCCACUAAAUAACUGGUUGGUCACCUGAAGGAAGAAUACCAAUAAGAGGAUUCCUGAUAAUCACCAUUCUACUCUCUGCUUCUGCGAGUUCAGCUUUCAAAAAUUCCACCUACAGGUCAUGGAGAACUGAAAGCUCAUGGUGUGUUCAGAGAACAGCCAGCAGAGGAGAGGAGGAAAGAAGAGAAGGAAGGAAGAAGAUCAAGCUGAAAUGGUACUACAGGGACUCUUAAUGUUCCAUUAAGCCAAAGAGUGUGGGACAGGAGAGUAAUUCAAUUCAGUAUGUAUUUUGAAUUGAUGACUGAUGAUAGUGACUAAGGAGAAUUAGAAAGUAGAGGCAGUUAGACUAGUUCAGUGGCUGUGGAAAUAGUCUAGGUGAGAGAUGAGGUCACAUUUCAAAGGCCUUGAAGAAAUGGACACCUUUGGCAGAGAUACAAUGUUGUCUCCCAAUGUCUGUUUGUUGCUUCUUGUUUUACUUAUAACCUCCUGACCUUUCACUAGGUUCAUCUCCAUUAAGAAGAAAGAUUAAUCCCUGCCUCCCUUGCAGUUAGAUGGGGUCAUGUGUCUAAGGUCUGGUUAGCAGAUAUAAAUGGCAGCAGUAUGUGCAACUUCUGUGGAAUGACCCUAAAGAAAGAGAUUGACUUUUCUUUAUCUUUUCUCCUUUCUGAUG